UUCCGGGCCCGCCCCCCGGCCCCUCGGUCCCCGCCCCGGGGCGGGGCUUCGCUCGGCGGCCGGCCGGCCUUUCCGCUGCGGCCCGUGCCCCGGCUGGAGGGCCGCGGCCGCGCUCCGGACACGUGCGGAGGGAACAGCCGAGGGCUUUGGAGAGAUGCAGCCCCAGGAUAACUUGAAAGUAGGGCAUGUUUGGCCCUCCUGAAGAGAGAAAAUUAGUGGUUGGUGAACAGUCUGUAUGGCAUUCUCAGAUGCCUUUACCUGAGGGAGAAAUCUGCCUCCAUUCAGACCUCAGAUGUCUCUUGACAGCCCUAUGUGACACUGGGAUAGGAUAUUCCUGUAAGUAUACUGCAGGACAUGUGGCGUUCUACAACAUUGACAACAUUCACUGCAUGUUGAUCAUGUGCCAGAAUUGGUAAACUCAUUCUACAUAUCUUAAUCUUCUCAACAGGCCUAAGAGAUACUGCUGUUAUUUGUCCAAGGUCACACAGUGGGCCCAGAAACUACUGUUGUGUUCAGUUAAUCUGGCUCCAAAGCUAGAGUUUGACUUGGAACUUUUAAGUAUGGUGCCCCCAAGUCUUUCCAACUAAUUCUAAUAAAUAAUUGCUUGCUUUCUUCA
rnacentral:lncRNA from 1 species